GCACUUCCCCUUAGAGAAGGUACGCCGUUACUUUACUGACCCUAACUAUAUCGUUAAAGAAUCUAAGCAGGUAAGAAAGCGACGCAACCGCAACCAGAGGAGGCAGAUCAUCAAGGACGGAUGGGCAGACUAUGAAGGAGAAGUUGUAAGAUCAGAAGACGUAGAGUUUAAACAGAAUUAUCCAGAGGAGAUUGAAGCACCGAGUCAGGUAUGGAAAAUGAAGAUAACUAUACAUGAAGAGGAGGCGCUGCAGGAAGUACCGACUACGCCACCCAAUGACCUCAGGACGAUUAAGAAAAUGGAGAGUCCCGUUCGGAGGACUUAAAAACACCGAACACCUUGCCAAGAGGCAAACUUGGUAGUUAUCCUUUCCCUUUCAAUUAUUUCAAAUAGUUUACUUAGUUAAUCAUGUUCGUAUAUCCUAGAAAGAAAAUAAGAAAAAAUGUGAAAAACUAUAAGCCCCAUGUGAGUAGACGAGUGGCAUAAAACCCAUAAGUACAUUCACUGUGGUGGCAUAAAAAUAAAAUAAAUAUUUUUCUGCUUUAUAAAAACAAAAAUAUAAAAACAGGGAGUAAUAUUUAUUAAGGAGUCUCAAGAUGAAAAAGGCUAGAUAUUUAUGCUAACACUUAAUCAGUUCCACAAGCUUUGUUGUCUAUUUGAGCUCCACAGAAUUUAAGAAUCAAGAAGACU
rnacentral:lncRNA from 1 species